rnacentral:rRNA from 1 species
UACCAGCACCCCGAGUGGUCGGGACGAUUAUUGGGCCUAAAGCAUCCGUAGCCGGUUUACAAGUCCUCCGUUAAAUCCAGCUGCUUAACAGAUGGGCUGCGGAGGAUACUAUAAGACUAGGAGGCAGGAGAGGCAAGCGGUACUCAGUGGGUAGGGGUAAAAUCCGUUGAUCCAUUGAAGACCACCAGUGGCGAAGGCGGCUUGCCAGAAUGCGCUCGACGUGAGGGAUGAAAGCUGGGGGGAGCAAACCGG